rnacentral:rRNA from 1 species
GUGGGGAAUAUUGGGCAAUGGGCGAAAGCCUGACCCAGCAACGCCGCGUGAAGGAUGACGGUCUUCGGAUUGUAAACUUCUUUAAUUGGGGAAGAACAAAAUGACCUACCCAAAGAAUAAGUCACGGCUAACUACGUGCCAGCAGCCGCGGUAAUACGUAGGUGACAAGCGUUAUCCGGAUUUACUGGGCGUAAAGGGCGUGUAGGCGGUCUUGCAAGUCAGAAGUGAAAUUCCUGAGCUCAACUCGGGCGCUGCUUCUGAAACUGCAGGACUUGAGUGCUGGAGGGGAUAGCGGAAUUCCUAGUGGAGCGGUAAAAUGCGCAGAUAUUAGGAAGAACACCGGUGGCGAAGGCGGCUAUCUGGACAGUAACUGACGCUGAGGCGCGAAAGCGUGGGGAGCAAACAGG